rnacentral:rRNA from 1 species
AACGAACGCUGGCGGCAGGCUUAACACAUGCAAGUCGAGCGCCCCGCAAGGGGAGCGGCAGACGGGUGAGUAACGCGUGGGAACGUACCCUUUGCUACGGAAUAGCUCCGGGAAACUGGAAUUAAUACCGUAUGUGCCCUACGGGGGAAAGAUUUAUCGGCAAAGGAUCGGCCCGCGUUGGAUUAGCUAGUUGGUGGGGUAAGGGCCUACCAAGGCGACGGUCCAUAGCUGGUCUGAGAGGAUGAUCAGCCACAUUGGGACUGAGACACGGCCCAAACUCCUACGGGAGGCAGCAGUGGGGAAUAUUGGACAAUGGGCGCAAGCCCGAUCCAGCCAUGCCGCGUGAGUGAUGAAGGCCUUAGGGUUGUAAAGCUCUUUCACCGGAGAAGAUAAUGACGGUAUCCGGAGAAGAAGCCCCGGCUAACUUCGUGCCAGCCGCCGCGGUAAAAC